rnacentral:rRNA from 1 species
UACGGAGGGUGCAAGCGUUAUCCGGAUUCACUGGGUUUAAAGGGUGCGUAGGUGGGCAGGUAAGUCAGUGGUGAAAUCUCCGAGCUUAACUCGGAAACUGCCGUUGAUACUAUUUGCCUUGAAUAUUGUGGAGGUGAGCGGAAUAUGUCAUGUAGCGGUGAAAUGCUUAGAUAUGACAUAGAACACCAAUUGCGAAGGCAGCUCACUACACAAUGAUUGACGCUGAGGCACGAAAGCGUGGGGAUCAAACAGG